GACGAACACUGGCGGCGUGCUUAACACAUGCAAGUCGAACGGGCCUUGUCCCCUUUUUUUUUGGGGGUGGGGUUAGUGGCGAACGGGUGAGUAACACGUGAGUAACCUGCCCCUCACUUCUGGAUAACCGCUUGAAAGGGUGGCUAAUACGGGGUGUUCUGGCCUGCUCGCAUGGGUGGGUUUGGAAAGAUUCGACCGGUUUGGUUGUUUUGGUGGGGGAUGGGCUCGCGGCCUAUCAGCUUGUUGGUGGGGUGAUGGCCUGCCAAGGCUUUGACGGGUAGCCGGCCUGAGAGGGUGGGCGGUCACACUGGGACGGAGACACGGCCCAGACUCCUACGGGAGGCAGCAGUGGGGAAUAUUGCACAAUGGGCGCAAGCCUGAUGCAGCGACGCCGCGUGAGGGAUGGAGGCCUUCGGGUUGUGAACCUCUUUCGCCAGUGAAGAAGGUCCUGCUCUUUGUGGUGGGGUUGACGGUAGCUGGGUUAAUGAAGCGCCGGCUAACUACGU
rnacentral:rRNA from 1 species